GUGAACCUGCGAAAGGAUCAUUGCCGAGACCCA
rnacentral:rRNA from 1 species